UCCAGUCCAGGGCAGGCUUGAGGCACGGAGACUGAACUGCUCCCUCCCUCACCCCCCUAAGAGAAAGGGUGCUCCCUCCAGUCCAGGGCAGGCUUGAGGCACGGAGACUGAACUGCUCCCUCACUCCCCCAUGUCCCAUCCCCAAACAUACAAUUGCAUUGUAAGAAAGAUGAUUUCUCACGCGGGUUUCGUACAUUGAUAAGGGUUGUGAGUCGAGGUAGAAUCACCGGGAUCCUUUAAGACCUGACCUGACAGAAGCUCUGAGAUCAAUCAGCUGCUACAGGAACUGGACAUGCUCUACUGGGCUGAAGGCUUCUCCUGUGCUUUGUAAAGCAAUGCUGUGCUGUGUUCUGGUCUCUGCUGAGCUCUCCUGUGUUGUGUUCUGGUGGACAGGGGGAGAUGAUUGACAGAAUCGAGUACAACGUGGAUCACUCGGUGGACUUCGUGGAGAGAGCCGUGUCCGACACCAAGAAAGCUGUGAAAUACCAGAGCAAAGCGAGGAGGAAGAAGAUCAUGAUAAUAAUUUGCUGUGUGGUCCUAGGCGUUGUUCUAGCAUCGACUAUCGGAGGCACGUUGGGAUUUUAAGAAAAUGCAAACAAACAAACGAAAAAUCCUGAAAUAAACCAACACUCCAAAAAAACAAACAAAAAAAAACAAACAAACAAAAACAGAGGAGGGGAAAGAACCCACAGAAAAUGCUAAUAAUUAAAAUCGCAGGGAAGGAGGGAGGGAGGGAGGGAGGGAGGGAGGGAGGGAGGGAGGAGGAAAGGACACUUGAAAAAAAACGGCAGUUUUUUUUUGUUUUUUGUUUUAAAUCUGUUAUAUUUUUUUAAUUUUAUACAUCCCAAAGCACUUUUAUUGCAAGAAUUCUCUCACUCAAUUAGAAGGACCCCCCCCCCCCACCUUUAACUUCUGAUGUCAGAGAAUACCCUCACCCCCCCCCCCCCCCAGAAGAAUGUCAGGGAGGGGGGCUAAUGGAUCUCCCCGGGACAAGAUACAUAGCACAAUAAUGGAAUAACUAUUAGCCAGAUUAGAGUCAACCCCCUCUCGUAGACCCUGCCCCCCCCAACCAACCACGCCCCCUACAGCUGUGACUAAAAAAUGCAUCUGAGGAAAACUCCAACGCGGCUGUGUGUAAUUCAAUAUGUUAACAUAACAUUAUCCAGCAGGUUUACAUUCGACUCUACAAAGCACAAUUAAUUCUAUAUAGAGGAUUCAGAAUUUUUGGCUACAGCUGUACUUUCUAUUUGAGCGGUUCCAUACGUCACCCAUUGGACUGCAAGAUAAUUCUAUUAUUAUUAGUUUAUUUAGCAGACGCCUUUAUCCAAGGCGACUUACAGAGACUAGGGUGUGAGCUAUGCAUCAGCUGCAGAGUCGCUUACAACUACGUCUCACCCGAAAGACGGAGCACAAGGAGGUGAAGUGACUCGCUCAGGGUCACACAGUGAGUCAGUGGCUGAGGUGGGAUUUGAACCCGGGACCUCCUGGUUACAAGCCCUUUUCUUUAACCACUGGACCACACAGCCUCGACAAUUCUAGGCAUCUUUUAUUUAUUUAUUUCUCCAAAAUCCACAAAGAAAAUCCAAAUUAUUAUUAUUAUUAUUAUUAUUAUUAUUAUUAUUAUUAUUAUUAUUAUUAUUAUUAUUUUUUUUUACUCAGAAAUCGAGGAGUCGAUGGUAUAUGCUGUAGUCAUGUGACGUGAUGUGGUUGUUUUUAUUUGGGUAGUUUCCUUCAUUUUUAAGAAAAAAUGUUCAUUUUGGAAGAAAAUUAAAAAAAAGACUAAAAAAAUAAUAUUAACGAUGAUGAUAGAUAUUUCGAAAAAUAACAAUAUGCAUUAUAAUUAGGGCUUCUGGUCUUCAGUUUUUAUUUUCCAUCUCUCUCCCUCGCUUUACACCUUAAUUAAACCUUAACGGAAUACCAGAUUGGUUCAAUUAGCGACGCGCUGCCAGAAACGCAGAGGAAAUUAAUUAAUAGAAUUAAUUGAAUCCGGUGACAUCAUCAAGACACGUCAUUGGACUCUCUAUCAAGCUAUCCGUGUUUGAUUACGAAAGCGAAUCGGCUCAAAAUAUGUUUAGAGGGACAUCACGUGAUCAAAGAUAAAACCAGCAUCCCAAAUUGUAAUUAUUAAUAAUACUGCGACUUUCCCGAAGCUUAGAUUCAUUUUUUUUUAAAGUGAUCUAAAGCAGGACGGAGUUUGGAAAUCGCUGCUCUUAUGUAUAAACCUACAUAUCAGAAAAUAGAAAAAAUAAAUUAUAUAUAUAUAUAUAUACACAUUUCGAUCUUUUUUUUACCGCAAAAGAACCGUUUUUGAAUCAACAAGUUAAGCGGGGUCGAUGAGCACAAAAAUAUUUAUUUAAAAAAAAUAUAUAUAUAUAUAUAUAUAUAUAUAUAUAUAUAUAUAUAUAUAUAUAUAUAUAUAUAUAUAUAUAUUUCAAAGUGGGUUAUAAUAGGUUAAUAGGUUAAUAUUUCUCCCCGCUUUCACAGUCCCGCGAUUGACGGACCCCCCCCCCCCCCCCCCUCAGUCAUCCACACUGUCUUGGAUCACACGCAGAAUAAAAUCGAUGCCCUUCUUCAACCGUUCAGAGAUUAUGACGCUGGAAUGAGCCUGCCUGGACACCGUACACCGCUCUGAACUACAUUUCCCACCGUUCCUUGCGUUAUCCCCGCAAAAGGGACGGUGUAUUUUGUAUUAUGAAGGAAACAAACAAAAAAGGGCUGUAAAGCAAACCGACCCUUUAAAAAAAAAAAAACAACGGGCUUGUUUACAAUUUUUAUUUUUAUUUUGGAAGCUUGUUUUUUCGACUCAUUAGGCGCCACUCCGUUACCCUGGAAACGGUUUUAACGACAAACUCUGUGGGUUUAUACACCCUUACUCAAAUACUUAAAAGUACCCAUAUUUUUACAAACACGUACCAUUUAUUUAAACCGGGAGUUGGUAUACGGCACAAAAAUAUUAUAAAAAUAUGAAUUAUGCUGGCUCUUUGAGCUAAAAUAUAUAUAUAUGGAGCAGAAAGGGCUUUAUUUAAGAAAAGUGCUUACGUUUAGUUUUAACAUAUACUGUGGACUACAUGAAGCCCGAACCACAAGCCAAUCUUUUUUUUUGUUGAAACAGCGCUAAACCAAAAAUCACCUGAACAAAUUGUGCUAUAGCAAAAAUCCACUGUGUUGAGGUUACAGCGUUGAACCACCAGUUGGCAGUGUUGUCCACACGAGACUCUGCUGCAGUUUUAACAGUUUGGGACAAUUUGACUAGCAAUGCCUAACUACAUAAUUUGCGAUCAUUUGCGAUUUAUUUUCAAAAGCUUUCUUUUGAAUAACGCUCGUCAGAAAAACGUGCUGUGCGGUUUUAAAUUCAGGCUCAGAAGCACGCAGCACCCCCCGUUUUUCUGUGUGAUACAGUAGUCCAAUUGGGGGAAAACAUUCAGCUUUUUCUUGGAUCGGUCCAUUUACAAUGGAGGAGAGGGGGAGGGAAGUUUCGCAAUCUCUUGAGACAGACCUCUGUGUGUGUGUGUGUGUUUUUCUUUCUGUACAGUAUUAUAUUAUCUGUUCCUGUCAGUAUCAGCCAUCAGAUGAGAGGGUGAGCAGAAAAAGAAAAAAAAAAGAUUAUUAAUGAUAAAUAAUAAUAAUAAUAAUAAUAAUAAUAAUAAUAAUAAUAAUAAUAAUGACAAUGCUAGCAACUUGACGAAACCGAAAUGUCAUUUUGUGUCUGUAAUUAUUGUAAAUACCAAAAAAAAAAAAAAAAAAAAAUGAAAAAAAUGAAA